UAAUCUUUGUUAAGUGCCAACGGCGGAGAAACAGACACCGUGAUCUAUGGACACAUUUUCGCUACAUGGAAGUGGAGAAAAAAAGUCCUUAUGCUUGCUUUCAGUGGAAGACAUGGAAACAACCACAAAGACACGUCGCAGUUCACCCCAAAGCCAUUGUCGUGGUCUUGUGAGCGCGUGACCACGAGGACGGGCAUGCGGUCACGUGACGGCGCCGAUGACGAUGGGCACGUGGUCAAAUGACGACGGAUGGGCCGCUCGCCAGUCGAGACAGACAACCGAGUGGUCACCAGCAAGUGUCCGGGGACGGGCGUCGUCUAAUAGCAAAGAACUUGUGGACACAAACAUGGACUGGACG